rnacentral:rRNA from 1 species
UACGUAGGGGGCAAGCGUUGUCCGGAAUCAUUGGGCGUAAAGGGCUCGUAGGUGGCCAACUAAGUCGGACGUGAAAUCCCUCAGCUUAACUGGGAACUGCGUCCGAUACUGGAUGGCUUGAGUUUGGGAGAGGAUGCGGAAUUCCAGGUGUAGCGGUGAAAUGCGUAGAUAUCUGGAGGACACCGGUGGCGAAGGCGGCAUCCUGGACCAACACUGACACUGAGGAGCGAAGCCAGGGAGCAA